AUUGAACGCUGGCGGCAGGCCUAACACAUGCAAGUCGAGCGGAUGAAGGGAGCUUGCUCCUGGAUUCAGCGGCGGACGGGUGAGUAAUGCCUAGGAAUCUGCCUGGUAGUGGGGGAUAACGUCCGGAAACGGGCGCUAAUACCGCAUACGUCCUGAGGGAGAAAGUGGGGGAUCUUCGGACCUCACGCUAUCUGAUGAGCCUAGGUCGGAUUAGCUAGUUGGUGUGGUAAAGGCCUACCAAGGCGACGAUCCGUAACUGGUCUGAGAGGAUGAUCAGUCACACUGGAACUGAGACACGAUCCAGACUCCUACGGGAGGCAGCAGUGGGGAAUAUUGGACAAUGGGCGAAAGCAUGAUCCAGCCAUGCCGCGUGUGUGAAGAAGGUCUUCGGAUUGUAAAGCACUUUAAGUUGGGAGGAAGGGAAGUAAGUUAAUACCUUGCUGUUUUGACGUUACCAACAGAAUAAGCACCGGCUAACUACGUG
rnacentral:rRNA from 1 species